CCCUAUUCCAGUUAUAUCAUAUAUACAUUUAUGAGCACCUCACUAUAAAGCCUUAUGGGGUACACUGUCACAAAGGGAUUCCUGGCCCCUUGGUUAUUGGAAGCUGGAGGCGGGUCUGCAUGUCUGACACCGGUCAGGUUCUUCCCUCAUCACUCUCCAAUGAGACCAGGGUGUCAAAACCUAAGGCACAUACUAAAUCAUCCCCACCCAGCCCUCCUAGCUUGCAAGGUGAAGAAGCCAUGUAUUGUCCUGUCUGUGUGUUUUUCGAUCUUUCACAGAAUCCCUCUUCUCCCUCCUCCUUGGGAACAGCUCAGGUAUGUGGAGGGCUCUGGACUCCGCAGGUUUAGAAAUAGGCAGGGGUUUAACAGUGGAGCUGGGUGUGUGUCACAAUUCCCCUCACCUCCCCAGACGUCUGCCUCCCCCAAGGGGGCUCAGCGACCACGUUCCCAUCCUCUUAGAUUCCACAUUCCCCAACACAACACAGGGACAGGUUCCACCCACAGAAUGUCCUUUCUGACAGAUGUUCUCUCAAUCCUCCACUCAUCCUGAUCUGGUCUGAUUUCACUCCCUGCACAGGAUUUCCCCUUCCCAAACCUGACCUGAUCACCCAGCUGGAACGAGGGGAAGAGCUGUGGGUGCCCGAUCUCCAGGCCAGUGAGGAAAGAGGGAUCCCGGGAGGCACCCACACAGCAGGUGAUGAGAGAGUGAGUGAGAAUGAGGAGGGGAAUCAACAGCAGGAAGUUCCUGGGCACGGGGAAUCACGGGGAACCUCUGUGGGAAGACCCCAUAAGUGCUUCGACUGUGGAAAAAGUUUCAUACAGAAGUCACACCUUGCUGCACAUCAGGCGAUCCACACUGGAGAGAGACCCCAUCAGUUCUUAAUCGGUGGGAAAAAUUUCAUACGGAGGUCAGCCCUUGUUUCACAUCAGAGAAUCCACACAGGCGAGAGACCCCAUAAGUGCUUAGACUGUG